rnacentral:miRNA from 1 species
CAAGCACAGCACGGCUCGCUG